ensembl:misc_RNA
AAAUGAAUUAUGAGAAAAACAACGAAGAUCAAAUGUCCAUCUCAAAAUACUGCUUUUACAAAAGCAGAAUGAAAUGAAAUGAAACGAAAAUAA